AUUGAACGCUGGCGGCAUGCCUUACACAUGCAAGUCGAACGGUAACAGGUUAAGCUGACGAGUGGCGAACGGGUGAGUAAUGUAUCGGAACGUGCCCAGUCGUGGGGGAUAACUACUCGAAAGAGUGGCUAAUACCGCAUACGACCUGAGGGUGAAAGCGGGGGACCGUAAGGCCUCGCGCGAUUGGAGCGGCCGAUAUCAGAUUAGCUAGUGGGGGGGGUAAAAGCCCACCAAGGCGACGAUCUGUAGCUGGUCUGAGAGGACGACCAGCCACACUGGGACUGGGACACGGCCCAGACUCCUACGGGAGGCAGCAGUGGGGAAUUUUGGACAAUGGACGCAAGUCUGAUCCAGCCAUGCCGCGUGCGGGAAGAAGGCCUUCGGGUUGUAAACCGCUUUUGUCAGGGAAGAAACGAGUUUCUCUAAUACAGAGACUUAAUGACGGUACCUGAAGAAUAAGCACCGGCUAACUACGUGCCAGCAGCCGCAGUAAGAC
rnacentral:rRNA from 1 species